UCUUCCAUAGCUCAGUCGGUAGAGCGACGGACUGUUAAUCCGCAGGUCCCUGGUUCGAGCCCAGAUGGAAGAGCCA
rnacentral:tRNA from 1 species